rnacentral:rRNA from 1 species
CAGUCGCCGCGGUAAUACGUAGGGUGCAAGCGUUAUCCGGAAUUAUUGGGCGUAAAGAGCUCGUAGGCGGUUUGUCGCGUCUGCUGUGAAAACUGGAGGCUCAACCUCCAGCCUGCAGUGGGUACGGGCAGACUAGAGUGCGGUAGGGGAGAUUGGAAUUCCUGGUGUAGCGGUGGAAUGCGCAGAUAUCAGGAGGAACACCGAUGGCGAAGGCAGAUCUCUGGGCCGUAACUGACGCUGAGGAGCGAAAGCAUGGGGAGCGAACAGGAUUAGAUACCCCAGUAGUCCCUGUCUCUUAUAC